UUUGUGAACAAGGAAACAUUGGUGGCCCUAAUAAGGGAGCUUCCACGGAGCUAGGGGACAAUAGUCAGGCUGGAGAGAGUUGAAGAGGUAUGGAUCGUGGAGGUGGGGAAAUGGAGGCAGCGUGUAGACAGCCAUUUUGGAGACCCUCUGUCGUGAAGGAGGGCAGAGAAUGAGAUGAAGAAAUGGGGCGGAGGGUGUGGUUUUUUCAGGUAGAAGGUGCUGGAAUCUGCAUGUCCAAGGAUGAUCCAGUGUACAGGCUGAAGGCUAUGAACAUAAGCCCUGCCCAAAUGGGGAGAACCACCUGCUGUCAAGAGUCAGCCAGCUGCAGUAUCAGCCCCUGAAGAGGACGAGCUAGCAGUGCUGAUGUCAGGGAACUUUCCACUCCUCAAACCGACAGGAACAGGACCGUGAGCACAAAACGUGAACACGGACCAGAACGAGUUGGCAUGCAGGACUAGGUUGCCUUGACGACUCUGAGUUCUGACAGGGAAAUACAAUGAGUUUUAUGUGGACAGAGUUCCACGGUCUAUUGCAAAAUCAAUGUGCUGUUUGAAUGAAUCAUCACUUCCAACCAUUGGUCAUUGGUGUCUGAAUCUUGAUUGCAGAUGAAGCACUGAGUCAUGACUGUAAAAUGCCACAGUAUUUAUGAAAACCAAGAAGGUUUUUUAUUUAUCCUGACUAGCUAAAUCAAGGCCUGGAAUGAUGAUAUGUCCCAG
rnacentral:lncRNA from 1 species